rnacentral:rRNA from 1 species
UACGUAGGGAGCGAGCGUUAUCCGGAUUUAUUGGGCGUAAAGCGUGCGUAGGCGGUUUAUUAAGUUUAAGAUAAAAGCCUGGGGCUUAACUCCAGUUCGUCUUAAAAACUGGUAAACUAGAGUAUGGUAGAGGUAAAUGGAAUUUCUAGUGUAGCGGUGAAAUGCGUAGAUAUUAGAAGGAACACCAGUGGCGAAGGCGAUUUACUAGGCCAAAACUGACGCUGAGGCACGAAAGCGUGGGGAGCAAAUA